ensembl:miRNA MIR140 microRNA 140
GUCUCCUGUGUCCUGUCAGUGGUUUUACCCUAUGGUAGGUUACGUCAUACUGUUCUACCACAGGGUAGAACCACGGACCGGAUGUCUGGAG